GUGUUCCCUUUGGCAGCACAGAUACUGAAAUUGGAACAGUACAGAAAUUAGCAUGGCCUCUGUGCAAGAAUGACAUGCACAUUCAUGAAGCGCUCCAUAUUUUA